rnacentral:tRNA from 1 species
GCCCUCGUAGCCCAACGGCAGAGGCAGGCGGCUUAAACCCGCCCCAGUGCCGGUUCGAAUCCGGCCGAGGGCA